UAACUGAAGAGUUUGAUCAUGGCUCAGAUUGAACGCUGGCGGCAGGCCUAACACAUGCAAGUCGAGCGGAAACGAUGGUAGCUUGCUACCAGGCGUCGAGCGGCGGACGGGUGAGUAACGCGUGAGAAUCUGCCCAUUUGUGGGGGAUAACUCGGGGAAACUCGAGCUAAUACCGCAUAAUCCCUACGGGGGAAAGCAGGGGACCUUCGGGCCUUGUGCAGAUGGAUGAGCUCGCGUCGGAUUAGCUUGUUGGUGAGGUAAAGGCUCACCAAGGCGACGAUCCGUAGCUGGUCUGAGAGGAUGAUCAGCCACACCGGGACUGAGACACGGCC
rnacentral:rRNA from 1 species